UACGUAGGGCGCAAGCGUUAUCCGGAAUUAUUGGGCGUAAAGAGCUCGUAGGCGGUUUGUCGCGUCUGCUGUGAAAUCUGGAGGCUCAACCUCCACCCUGCAGUGGGUACGGGCAGACUAGAGUGCGGUAGGGGAGAUUGGAACUCCUGGUGUAGCGGUGGAAUGCGCAGAUAUCAGGAAGAACACCGGUGGCGAAGGCGGUCUGCUGGGCCAAGACUGACGCUGAGGCGCGACAGCGUGGGGAGCAAACAGG
rnacentral:rRNA from 1 species